AUUGAAUGCUGGCGGCAGGCCUAACACAUGCAAGUCGAACGAGUGGCGGACGGGUGAGUAAUGUCUGGGAAACUGCCUGAUGGAGGGGGAUAACUACUGGAAACGGUAGCUACAACCGCAUACCAUCAGAUGUGCCCAGAUGGGAUUAGCUUGUUGGUGGGGUAACGGCUCACCAAGGCUACGAUCCCUAGCUGGUCUGAGAGGAUGAACAGCCACCCUGGAACGGAGACACGGUCCAGACUCCGACGGGAGGCAGCAGUGGGGAAUAUUGCACAAUGGGCGCAAGCCGGAUGCAGCCAUGCCGCGUGUAUGAAGAAGGCCUUCGGGUUGUAAAGUACUUUCAGCGGGGAGGCGUUACCCGCAGAAGAAGCACCGGCUAACUCCGUGCCAGCAGCCGCGGUAAUUC
rnacentral:rRNA from 1 species